AUGCUAUUAACUCCAGACGUUCCUUCAAAGCAAACGGUAUGUCACGUAUGUGUUUAAAUAUAUUCAGGUUUUGUGUAAUAUGUGCCAACUUUGCAUACAAGGCUAAUCAAUGUCAAUGACAAGACUUUUGGAGUACUCAAAUAUUUCCCAAAAUACCUGUAUAUAUAACUUAUAUAUACCCCCCCCCCCCAAGAAAAUGUUUCUGUGUGAUGAAAAGAUAUUACACUGGCCAUUUACAACAUGUUGGGAGCUGCAGUACACCCUGUUUAUUUUAUUUUUACUUGUCUAGCGCCAGACGAUUUUACUCAUCAAUGGGG